rnacentral:lncRNA from 1 species
CAGCUUUCCAGGGAUGCUGUGAUGUGGUGAAAUUAUGCCAUUCAUUAGAAGGUGAUACUGUCAUCAAUGUGAGAGGCCCAGGACUCUGCAGGGCCUGAAGAAAUCCUGGGCAAUGAGUCUGAGGGAAGUCUCUCAGAGCAGCUACUCUGAGAGAGUAAAGCCGCAGCCUUUGUGGGGUAUGAAAGCAGCGUUCUCAUGGAUAAGGCUUAUUUGAGACGAAGUGGAGGCCUUGUUUUGUCCACUUACCGCAAUGUCCACUGUCCCCAACUGCAGCAUGCCAACAGCAAAUGUGUUUAGUGGAUAUGUGCUUUGUAGCUAACAAGAAACAGUAACAUUUAUUUUUCCAUGCCUAGUUGCUUAACAAACGAUAUUCUAA